rnacentral:rRNA from 1 species
ACGUAGGGGGCAAGCGUUGAUCGGAAUCACUGGGCUUACAGCGCGUGUAGGCGGGGCGGCAGGUCUUCUGUGAAAGCCCCCGGCUCAACCGGGGAAUUGCAGGGCAAACUGCUUGGCUUGAGACUGGUAGGGGUGCCUGGAACUCUAGGUGGAGCGGUGAAAUGCGUAGAUAUCUAGAGGAACGCCAGUGGCGAAAGCGGGGCUCUGGGCCAGUUCUGACGCUGAGGCGCGAAAGCGUGGGGAGCAAACAG